UACGAGGACGACGCUGGCGGCGUGCUUAACACAUGCAAGUCGAACGAUGAAAGCGGGAGCUUGCUCCUGCUGGAUUAGUGGCGAACGGGUGAGUAACACGUGAGUAACCUGCCCUUGGACUCUGGGAUAAGCGUUGGAAACGACGUCUAAUACCGGAUACGACCUUCGGAGGCAUCUCCUGGGGGUGGAAAGAAUUCGGUCAAGGAUGGACUCGCGGCCUAUCAGCUAGUUGGUGAGGUAAUGGCUCACCCAAGGCGACGACGGGUAGCCGGCCUGAGAGGGUGACCGGCCACACUGGGACUGAGACACGGCCCAGACUCCUACGGGAGGCAGCAGUGGGGAAUAUUGCACAAUGGGCGCAAGCCUGAUGCAGCAACGCCGCGUGAGGGACGACGGCCUUCGGGUUGUAAACCUCUUUUAGUAGGGAAGAAGCGAAAGUGACGGUACCUGCAGAAAAAGCACCGGCUAACUACGUG
rnacentral:rRNA from 1 species